rfam:Oryza nivara chromosome 6, whole genome shotgun sequence.
AAAAAGACAAACCGCGGGUUUACGUGCCAAUGUUUGACUGUCCGUCUUAUAUGAAAUUUUUUUUAUAAUUAGUAUAUUUUCAUUGUUAUUAGAUGAUAAAACAUGAUGAAUGCUUUAUGUGUGACUUAUCUUUUUAAUUUUUUUUAUAAUUUUUUUAAAUAAAACGGACGGUCAAAUAUUGGACACGAAAACCAGGUUCGUCUUUUU